AUGCAGAAAUCAUUCUUGGAAUGGUCUUAUGCAAAAUUUGAGGUUGAGAGGCUGUCUCAGGUGAAUCACUUUCAGUGUCCUGCAUGCACACCCUCCAUGUUGGCUGUUGCAGUGGAUGGUAACCGCAAGCUUUACCGCUUUAAGAGCCAACCAGGACCUAAUGGAUUUUUUGAAGGUGUGUUUCUGGCCAAGGAUGCUGAGGUGACCCCCUUUGUUGACUACAUCCAUGGGGCAACACGACAUGUAAAGUUUAUUUCCAAUUUUUGUUUUUUUUUUAUAAAUUAUACCCUGCCUGCAUAUCUGUAUUGUAUUUACCCCAUACAACAUCAUAUUACCAAUGGUUAAAUUUCAAUGUACACCACUUUGCUCUGUAAAUUAGCACAC